UACGGAGGGGGCUAGCGUUGUUCGGAAUUACUGGGCGUAAAGCGCACGUAGGCGGCUUUGUAAGUUAGAGGUGAAAGCCCAGGGCUUAACUCUGGAAUUGCCUUUAAGACUGCAUCGCUAGAAUCGUGGAGAGGUGAGUGGAAUUCCGAGUGUAGAGGUGAAAUUCGUAGAUAUUCGGAAGAACACCAGUGGCGAAGGCGACUCACUGGACAUUUCCUGACGCUGAGGCACGAAAGCCAGGGGAGCAAACGGG
rnacentral:rRNA from 1 species